rnacentral:tRNA from 1 species
GGCGCUGUGGCUCAAGUGGUAGAGCGUCAGCCUUGUGCUGAAGAGCUGAGGGACAGCGCCU